rnacentral:rRNA from 1 species
UACAGAGGUCCCGAGCGUUGUUCGGAUUCAUCGGGCGUAAAGGGUGCGUAGGCGGCUUUCUAAGUCUGAUGUGAAAUCCUGGGGCUCAACCCUGGAACUGCAUUGGAUACUGGGAGGCUAGAGUACUGGAGAGGAAACUGGAAUUUACGGUGUAGCAGUGAAAUGCGUAGAGAUCGUAAGGAAGACCAGUGGCGAAGGCGGCAUCCUGGACCGGCAUUGACGCUGAGGAGCGAAAGCCAGGGGAGCAAACGGG